rnacentral:rRNA from 1 species
UGCGUAGGGGGCAAGCGUUGUCCGGAUUUAUUGGGCGUAAAGAGCUCGUAGGCGGUUCCGUAAGUCGGUAGUCAAAUCUCUGGGCUUAACCCAGAGCCGCUUCCGAUACUGCGGUGACUCGAGUCCGGUAGAGGAGUGUGGAAUUCCAGGUGUAGCGGUGAAAUGCGCAGAUAUCUGGAGGAACACCAACGGCGAAGGCAGCACUCUGGGCCGGUACUGACGCUGAGGAGCGAAAGCAUGGGGAGCAAACAGG